rnacentral:misc_RNA from 1 species
UUUCCGUAGGUGAACCUGCGGAAGGAUCAUUAUUGUAUAACCGAGGUGCGAGGGCUGUCGCUGACCCGAAAGGUCGUGCACGCCCGAGUGCCCUCACACACAUCCAUCUCACCCCUAUGUGCACCACCGCGGGGGUCCCCCUUUGGCUUGUUCGGAGGGGGGCUUACGUUGUCACACAAACUUUGUAUGCAGUGUAGAAUGUAUUUUUUGUUCUUGCGAUCACGCAAUCAAUACAACUUUCAACAACGGAUCUCUUGGCUCUC